GCGGGCGUAGUUCAAUGGUAGAACCUCAGCUUCCCAAGCUGAUGAUGGGGGUUCGAUUCCCCUCACCCGCUCCA
rnacentral:tRNA from 1 species